UAUUUAUUUAAGUGGUGAGUGGGUUUCAAGGCUUCGUCUCACUUUUCCUUUCAUAACCUCUAUUUCCAUGAAGCAUAUAAUAUUAUAAUAUAUGCUUUUAAAUGUAAAAUAAAGUAUAUAAUUUUAAUAUUAAGUUUUUUUGGAAGACAAUGGAGAGUUGGGGGAAGGGGGGCAAAACCCUAAAAUGGCUCAAGAGUGACACUCAAGGCGUGGGAUGAGCGUACGGAAAUGUCAAAAUAAGGGCGACCACGCUGUCUCUCUCUAUAACUUGGCCACCUUCCUCCUCUCUUUCCCGCUUUGUCCGCUCUCUCUCUCCGCUCUUUCCCGAAUUUUCGCAAAAACAAUGACCCAAAAUUUCCCAUUUAUUCCCGCCUUUGAUUCCAAAUCUCUCAUCGCCUCGAACAACCCCAACUCUCCAAUUUCACUCACCACCGCCUCCCGAUUAUUGCCACCGAUCUAAUCUAGGGUUCCGAUGAACUCCAAUUAGGGUUUCCCUAAAUUCCACAUUAAAAAGGAAUACUUCUUGGAUAUAUUUUUUUUUUUGAAGUUUGAAUUUUGAAACUCGGUCUUGGAUUCGUCGUGAGAGAUAAGGUGUCAAAUUGGGCGAGUCAUCAAGAUAAGGUCAAGGUGUUGUUGGUGGGGUAUUUGAAAUUGGGGUUGGGGGAAGCUGCAUUGAUUGGUAUAAAGUGGAGUUCGAGAGAUGUUGGUGUUGAAUCGAAGCGGCAUCGAUUUCGUGAGGUGUUUCUUUCAUUUGGCUGAAUGGCAUCCGGUGGAAUAGCGAAUCGAAUUGGGCCUUGAAGCCCCCUUACUCAUUUUCUUCAUCAGGUUUUUAGGGUCCAAUUUGUAUUUUGUGGUGUGAAUUAUAAUUACUGCCCAAGCGUUCAGGUUUCUCAUGUUCAGUAAGGACUACUCUAUUGCUAGAGUGACAGAAAUGGGCUGCUGUGGUUGCUUUGGAUUUGUGAGAAAACCCGAAAGUUUAUCAAGGCCUGGUUCUGGCUCAACCAAUUGCCUUUCCCAGGAGUUUUUGUUGGAAGAAGAUAUAGAAGAAGUUGAUGAUCGAUCAUACAAUGGCGAGGUUUCUGAUACUGCACAUGGAGAUGAUGGUGAGUUGCAAAGCCGUGUCCAACGUUCUGAAGAAAUUCUUAUGUUGAGAACUCAAAAUGGAAUGAUUUGCCGUGAAUUUCCCGUCAAGGAAACACACAAACUUAUUCGCUCAGAGGUAAACAGGGAUGAAAAUGGGAAUAAGACGAUCAAUGAGUAUGUUCGUGAGUACAAGAUUGGUUCUGGAAGCUAUGGCAAAGUGGUUCUAUAUCGGAGCCUCAAAGAUGGGAAUCAUUAUGCAAUUAAGGCCUUUCACAAGUCUCAUUUGUUAAAGCUGCGAGUUGCUCCUUCAGAAACAGCCAUGACUGAUGUUCUUCGGGAGGUUUUGAUCAUGAAAAUGUUGAACCAUCCAAAUAUAGUCAAUCUCAUUGAGGUGAUUGAUGACCCAAGCACAGAUCACUUCUAUAUGGUUCUUGAAUUUGUGGAAGGCAAAUGGGUCUGUGAGGGUUCUGGUCCCCCAGGUGGCAUAGGAGAAAAUACUGCAAGAAAGUACUUGAGAGAUAUAGUCUCAGGGCUGAUUUACCUCCAUGCUCAUAAUAUAGUGCAUGGGGACAUUAAACCAGACAAUCUUUUGGUUACUCGCACUGGUACAGUGAAGAUAGCGGAUUUUAGUGUCAGCCAGGUAUUUGAGGAUGAUAAUGAUGAGCUCCGCCGUUCUCCUGGCACUCCUGUUUUUACUGCACCAGAGUGCUGUUUAGGUCUUACCUAUCAUGGCAAAGCUGCAGACACAUGGGCUGUUGGAGUUACCUUGUACUGUAUGGUGCUUGGACAAUACCCAUUUCUUGGAGAAUCGCUGCAGGAUACGUAUGAUAAGGUGUGUCUGCCACAGGCAUUGCCAUUUUUUUUGGGGACAAUAUUGCUUCCCUAGCCCCUCAUUGUUGAUUGGUUAAUUUGUUACUGCUGCUGAUCCUGAUACCGUCCCUUCUGUUUUCCAAUUCUUUUCCUCCAGUAUUCAUUUGCCAGAGUUUGUUUCUGUUUUUCCCCUGUUGAAAUAUUGUGUCAUGCAGACCCAAAUGAAAGGAUGACGUUGGAUGCUGUUGCAAAGCAUGCCUGGGUUAUUGGAGAAGAAGGGCCAAUUCCUCAGUAUUUGUGUUGGUGCAGGCGAAAUAUACUGCUAAGGGAAGAUCCUGUUGGAAAUGGGAAGAGUACUCUCACAUGAACCAUGCUGACAAACCUGUUUUAAAUAGUUUGGAUUUGUUUUGUACAGUAGAAAAUGUAGAGUUCUUGAAGCAAUAGGGGGGACCCUCUCAGAGCAGAGAGAGAGAGAGUCAUUUGAGGGAAUUGAUUUACAGUAUGGAAGGGGAUUUUGAUUUGCGAGAACUGGUGGGAUGGUUUUUGAUUUGUGAAAGAGUUGGAACUUGGGGAUUUGUUUGCUGUUAUGAUUUGACGACCAACAAUUUGUGUAGCCAACCCCAAACAAUUUGGACAAGGCUUCAUUGAAUUGAAUAUUGAAUAUGAGAUAUGCUUAUGUUUCA